UCCGCACAGUGUCGUAGCACAGG
rnacentral:miRNA from 1 species